CUCUUCUUUUUCUCUUCGUCAACUUACCGGAAUACGUCCUUUAGCUCUAAAAGCUGCCACUCUGGCCAAGUCGUCAUCUGCUACACUUGUAGGUACAAC